rnacentral:rRNA from 1 species
AGGGCAUUGGGCGGCGUGCUUACACAUGCAGUCGACGGUGAAGCAGAGCUUGCUUCUGUGGAUCAGUGGCGAACGGGUGAGUAACACGUGAGCAAUCUGCCCCUGACUCUGGGAUAAGCGCUGGAAACGGCGUCUAAUACCGGAUACGAGCUGCGACCGCAUGGUCAGUAGCUGGAAAGAAUUUCGGUCAGGGAUGAGCUCGCGGCCUAUCAGCUUGUUGGUGAGGUAAUGGCUCACCAAGGCGUCGACGGGUAGCCGGCCUGAGAGGGUGACCGGCCACACUGGGACUGAGACACGGCCCAGACUCCUACGGGAGGCAGCAGUGGGGAAUAUUGCACAAUGGGCGAAAGCCUGAUGCAGCAACGCCGCGUGAGGGAUGACGGCCUUCGGGUUGUAAACCUCUUUUAGCAGGGAAGAAGCGAAAGUGACGGUACCUGCAGAAAAAGCGCCGGCUAACUACGUGCCAGCAGCCGCGGUAAUACGUAGGGCGCAAGCGUUAUCCGGAAUUAUUGGGCGUAAAGAGCUCGUAGGCGGUCUGUCGCGUCUGCUGUGAAAACCCGAGGCUCAACCUCGGGCCUGCAGUGGGUACGGGCAGACUAGAGUGCGGUAGGGGAGAUUGGAAUUCCUGGUGUAGCGGUGGAAUGCGCAGAUAUCAGGAGGAACACCGAUGGCGAAGGCAGAUCUCUGGGCCGUAACUGACGCUGAGGAGCGAAAGGGUGGGGAGCAAACAGGCUUAGAUACCCUGGUAGUCCCCCCCGUAAACGUUGGGAACUAGUUG